CAGAGAACAAGCUGUUUCUUUUUGUUGGAACAGCAGCACACUUGCAAGCAAUAAUAUGUAAUAAUAGCACAGGUAAUGCCAUGAGCUCAUGACCUCACUCCCAACUGUGAUUUUUUCCUUCAGGGCUUUCUGAGAGGGUCCCAAGAGCAGAGUUCCUGAGGAGCUGUGCAGUAUUCUCUAGAAAGACCCAUGUCUGUUACCCUCUCCUCUUUUCAUGAAUGGCUGUCUUGGGAGGGGAACAAUGGAGUGAGUGUAUCAUCUCCAGCAAUCACAAACCUUUCACCACAGAUUUCAAAGGCAUAUAUUCCAGCCACAGUGUGCUCUGAAAUCUUGCCCUUGGCUUUCAUCCAUGCUCUUCAGGGUUACAAGUGAGCAACACCUUCGAACAACAGUGUACAGAAAUAGAACGUCUAGAGUGAGACUGGGGCAGGGUGAGUACCUAGUAUUGAAAGAAAAAGGAUCUCAUGGUGCUAGAAAGGAUGAGAUCCAAGGUACUGGUGAAGGGAUUAACUCUAGCAAAGAGAAGGGAUAAGACACUUGUUGAGUGCAAAUGAAAAUGUAUCUUCUUGUCUUUCAAGAAUCCAAGUGAUAUUCAUUUCUUCCGCUUAUGUACCCAUCAAUUCCACUCAUAAUUAGAAGAUUAUCUGCUGAGCAAAAAUCUCUUGGAUAAAUUCCCACAAGUGAGAUUUGAGUCACUGUGCACAUUUUUAAUAUUAAUCCAUAUUGCU
rnacentral:lncRNA from 1 species